rnacentral:rRNA from 1 species
GCUUGUCUCAAAGAUUAAGCCAUGCAUGUCUAAGUGUAAAUAAGUCUAUACUGUGAAACUGCGAAUGGCUCAUUAAAUCAGUUAUCGUUUAUUUGAUGAUCUCUUACUACUUGGAUAACCGUAGUAAUUCUAGAGCUAAUACAUGCACAAAAUCCCGACUUACGAAGGGAUGUAUUUAUUAGAUACAAACCAACAUCGUGGUGAUUCAUAAUAACUUUGCGAAUCGUAUGCCUCACGGCGACGAUAAAUCAUUCAAGUUUCUGCCCUAUCAGCUUUCGAUGGUAGUGUAUUGGACUACCAUGGCAGUAACGGGUAACGAAGAAUUAGGGUUCGAUUUCGGAGAGGGAGCAUGAGAAACGGCUACCACAUCUAAGGAAGGCAGCAGG